rnacentral:tRNA from 1 species
GACUCGGUAGCUCAGGUGGUAGAGCAACUGACUUUUAAUCAGUGGGUCGGGAGUUCGAGUCUCCUCCGAGUCACCA